UGAAGCUCCUCCUCCUCCAGUGAAGCUCCUCCUCCUCCAGUUCAGCUGUAAACACUGUGAUAUUCCCAUCAGGCUCCAGUGAAGAGUUUAUUGAAGGACAGCGAGAACAUGAGUGAUCCAGAACCCUGCAGAAUUAAACAUGAAGACACUGAACAACAAAUAGUAAAGCUCCUCCUCCUCCAGCGAAGCUCCUCCUCCUCCAGUGAAGCCCCUCCUCCUCCAGUGAAGCUCCUCCUCCUCCAGUUCAGCUGUAAUCACUGUGAUAUUCCCAUCAGGCUCCAGUGAAGAGUUUAUUGAAGGACAGCGAGAACAUGAGUGAUCCAGAACCCUGCAGAAUUAAACAUGAAGACACUGAACAACAAAUAGACCUAAUUGAAGAGAAUAAGGUUAAAGAGGAAGAACAUCAUGUCAAAGUUGAGGACAAAAGUAAUUUACAGACUGACGGUAAUAAGAUAAAGAAAAAGAAAAACAAGAAUUGUUUCAUCUGCACUCAGUGUGGACAGUGUUGUGAAGGAAAAGCCAAUCUUCUGAUUCACAUGAGGAUCCACACUGGAGAGAAACCGUUCACAUGCACCCAGUGUGGGAAGCGUUUCAGCCGACUAGCACAUCUUAAUCAACACAUGAGGAUCCACACUGGAGAGAAACCAUUCACAUGCACUCAGUGUAAGAAGAGUUUCAGCAGCUCAUCGAACCUUAACAUACACAUGAUGAUCCACACGGGAGAGAGACCGUUCAUAUGCACCCAAUGUGGGAAGAGUUUCACCCACUUAUCAAACCUUAAUCAACACAUGAGGAUCCACACUGGAGAGAAACCGUUCACUUGUACUCAUUGUGGGAAGGGUUUCAUACAGUCCUCAAACCUUAAUCAACACAUGAUGAUCCACACUGGAGAGAGACCGUUCAUGUGCACUCAGUGUGGGAAGGGUUUCAGGCAAUCAUCGCACUUUAAUCUACACAUGAAGAUCCACGGUGGUGUGAAAGAGUUCAUGUGCUUGGAGUGCGAGGACACUUUUACUACAGCUGGAGAAUUGAAACUGCACCAGAGCAUUCACACUGGAGAGAAACCUGAGGCGUGAUCAGUGUCUAUACAGAGGUUCUGUCAUUCAGCACAGCUUACAGGAACAAGUGGACAUAAAGCUGCACACAUGACGUAAAUACAGCAAACACUCUCUCAUGUAAGAGGAUGCUUCAUGUCUGAAUAAUGUUUGAAAAGGCUGAGUGACGGUAUACUGUUUUCCAACACUCUGCACUGCAGUGGGUGGGGUUGUAAAUGUGUUGCGCUGCUCACAUGCACAGCUAAACACAAUGAUGGCGGCUGAGAGAAGAACAGUUUCAUAAACAUCCUGCAAACAGCACCUCUCCUCUUCACAUGGUUUUCUAUUAGCUGUGGACAGACACUGAGUGGUGCAGAUGUGUGCAAACUCAUAGAAAAGAUGUGGCGUGACGAGGUGGGCUUCUGGAUUUGGUGUGUGCCUCCAUCCGAGUCUUUAAAAUCGUAUCAGGUGCGGAUAUAUCUGUACAGCUCUGCUGCUCCACUCUCCAGUGUGUUCAUGUGGCUAGUGUUGCUGUCUGACCCCCUGAAUGAGAAGCAAAUCAAUGGAAAACCGCACAUCAAUGAAGGCAGAGCACCAGGAGACACCCACUGGUUGCAUAAUUGACAAUGGUAGCUCAAAGGUGUUUAGGAGCCAAAACCAAGCUGUUUCCAACUGCUUAAAUGAACUCAAGAAGAACGUUAUUUCAGCCAGAGUUUGGUUUGCAGUAUACCAACGCCUUAAGUUUGGAAAUCCUAUUAAUUUGUCUUGUGUAUUUGCUUCUUUUAUUGAUAAAGUUUCCUUACUUUCAA